ACCGUUCAGGGGUAAACCUGAGAAACCCGAAGGUCGAAAGAGGAAAUUUCAUUCGCGUUUCGAUUGUCGAAGUUGAACGUUUUUAUGACGGAUUAUGUGUGCUUCGCGGUUCACCGAUCCGCAUAUUAUGUUUUUCGAAUCGAUAUCGAACGCGUGCACUUUUCCUCUAGUAGGACGUCGUGAUCCGUUGGGUAUCUGUCUAAGACUCGAGAUGGAGACCAUGUGAUUUUUUAUGAUUAUGUGGACACUCGAUGUUCCGAUAGAUUCGCUCGACGGUAUAAAUAUGGCGCGGGGCCGCUAUUUAGUUAGCGUUCGGCCCGUAGCAAGCACGUUUCGUGUUUGACGGUGAUCGGAUCUAAUGCCGAUUCUGUCCCGGAACGACUGUUGGUUACGGUGUAUUUAAUCUCGAACAGACCUCGUUUUUUGAAACGCCGAUCGACGACGCGAUAGAUUU
rnacentral:rRNA from 1 species